GAAGCAGUCCAGAUCCUGGGAGGAAACCCAGAAGGGAGGUUAUGCCAGGGCCCUCACCCACCCCGGUCCUCCAGCCUGUCCCCCAGCUCUGGAAGGCAGCGUGGGAGCUUCACUGCAGGGAAGGAGGGCAUUUGGGAGAGGGAAGCUGGCCUGCCAGGAGGACCGGGCGGAGGGCCAUGGCUCCCUCCUCCACCUUCCUCACACGGGCAGAACUUACACUGUCCUCGCAGCUCUGUGUGCACGGCCCAUCCACAGUGCUGCACUGGAAGGAAGAGGAGAGACUGAAUGUGGACACUGCAUGUGUAGUAGAAAUGGCACGUGAUCUUCCCUGCUUUAUAAGGAGGCUCUUUUCCAGCUCAAAGCCAGGUUCGGGUUUGCCCAGGGCUGCAGCUGCAAGAUGAGUCACGGUUCUACUUCCCCUGGAAGGGCAGAAGUUGCAUAAGAUUGUUGAGGCUCAAGCGAGAUAAUGUGUGAGGCUGUUACUCCAGACUAGAGCCUUGAUUUUUAAACUUCAGCGUGCAUCAGAAUCGCCUGGAAGGAAAAGGCUAAAUGAAAGAGGAUCAUCAGAGCGAAUCACGCUACUGCUCAGAAUGACCAGCUCUUCGGGAUUGAAGAAAGCUUCCUUCAUCCUGUCCUUGGCCUCCGUGGUCAAAGAGCUUCAGGGGCCUUGCUGACCUCCUUCCUCUCCAUUUUGCUGUGCCCUCUCACUGUCCCUGAACUUGAGAUCCUGGAGGUUUAGCUGUGCUCUGGGUCCCUUGAAGACUUCGGAGGCAAUCCACUAAGAAAUGGGGAUUUAAGUGAGACAUGAAGAAGAACUUCCUUAUGGCAAGAACUAUAAGAUGUUGAAGACAAGACACAGUAUUGGGAGUAAAGGCGGUGAGGCACGGAAAUAUAUUUACCAACACCCAGGGAACCGAGUCUUCUCCCCCAGGAUCCCUGCUCUGCUCGUUCAGGUGAGUGGUUACUUGCGGGGAGGACUGCCCUUCCUCCCAUCAUCUCCUGCUAGCCAGCUGUGUGCAGGAGACAACACCUUAUGAUAUUAUGUUUGCAGACAAGCUCACACCUUUCGGUGAAGAGAAAUUCAGGCAAAGGGCCCGAGGGAAUGCAAAGCACUCGGCUUUUCCUGUUGCUUUCCUGGGAGUUAUCAGGAAAGCUUCCCUCAUGCCUGUGCAUGGUGGGCCCCUGUUUUAGACCCUGACCUUCGUCCCCAGGAGGGCCUGUCAUGACCUGAAAGAGGAGGACAAAUCUCAGACCCCUUCCUGCCCCAGCGGGCCUCCUGCCCCAGCUGACCUGGGUCCCUUCCCUCCCUCCUGUCCUCCCUCUCUGGGCUGUCCCUUGCCUUCCCUCUCUGCCCUGCCUCUCCACAUUGAUCUCGUGCCUUCCUCCCAAGCAGCUUUCCUGUAAGAUCGCAGCUCAGCUCCGCUGGCAGACAACCUAACAAAGAGCCUCAAUAAGGCCAGACCCGCAGGCGGCUUAUCAAGAUGUACGUCUUUGCUGUGCACACAGACUGUCACCUCGGUGCUGCUGUGUCAUCACAGAAGGCAAAACCAAACAACUGUGCAUGCACACACACAUACAUGCACACACAUGGACACACACAUAUAUGCACACACGGACACACAUGCAUGCACACACACUUGCACACACAUACCCAUGCACGCACACAUGGACACACAGGCAUACGCACACACUUGCACACACAUGCAUAUACACGUGCACCAUGCACAUGCACACAUACGUACACACACAUGCACAUACAUAGCAUGCACAUGAACAUAUGAGUUUGCACACUGUUGAGUGCUGUGGUCCCAGGAGUCAGAAGCUCCAGCUUUGCCCUCCUAGCCCUUUAUCUGCUUCUCUUUCCUCCUCCUCUGUCUUGAGAACCUAACCAGGAGACUGCGUGUUGCACGGGAUAGGGACUGUGGGGCAUGAGAGGGAUCAUCUUUUGUAACACAAGCUGAGGACCCGACAGGUGCACAGCGAAUACUUAGGUCACAGAAGGCCAGUGCCAGAAGGGAGACCAGAGAUCUCAACCCAUCUCCUCAUUCUGCAGGGCAGGAAUCCCAGCCAGCACAAGGCCCAGGGCUGCUGAGUGAACUCACUAGCUAGCUAGUCACUGAGCAACAGAGUCUGGAGUCUGGGUCCCCUGAUGCCCAGUCUUGAGCUCUUUCAUGUCCUCCAUUCCUCACUCAGUUGACACGAAGGCACUGGGGCCUGAAGGACACGGAACAGGUGAGGCCAGUCCCCCUGCUUGAACAGCUCUGUGUAGGAAAGGAGAUGACUCCCUCUCCCCUCUCCCCUCUCCCCACGGUCUCCCUCUCCCUCUCUUUCCCCGGUCUCCCUCUGAUGCCGAGCCGAAGCUGGACUGUACUGCUGCCAUCUCGGCUCACUGCAACCUCCCUGCCUGAUUCUCCUGCCUCAGCCUGCCAAGUGCCUGCGAUUGCAGGCGUGCGCCGCCACGCCUGACUGGUUUUCAUAUUUUUUUGGUGGAGACGGGGUUUCGCUGUGUUGGCCGGGCUGGUCUCCAGCUCCUAACCGCGAGUGAUCCGCCA
rnacentral:lncRNA from 1 species